UACGUAGGGGGCAAGCGUUGUCCGGAUUUACUGGGCGUAAAGGGCGUGCAGGCGGUCUGUUAAGUGCAGGGUGAAAGCUCCCGGCUCAACUGGGAGAGGUCCUUGCAUACUGGCGGACUUGAGGGGGGUAGAGGAAAGUGGAAUUCCCGGUGUAGUGGUGAUAUGCGUAGAUAUCGGGAGGAACACCGGUGGCGAAGGCGGCUUUCUGGGCCCUACCUGACGCUGAGACGCGAAAGCGUGGGGAGCAAACAGG
rnacentral:rRNA from 1 species